rnacentral:piRNA from 2 species
GGAAUUCAUAACUAUUCAGACUGGGA